rnacentral:rRNA from 1 species
AGUGAACGCUGGCGGUAUGCCUAACACAUGCAAGUCGAACGGCAGCACAGUAAGAGCUUGCUCUUACGGGUGGCGAGUGGCGGACGGGUGAGGAAUACAUCGGAAUCUACUUUUUCGUGGGGGAUAACGGAGGGAAACUUACGCUAAUACCGCAUACGACCUACGGGUGAAAGCAGGGGAUCUUCGGACCUUUCGCGAUUGAAUGAGCCGAUGUCGGAUUAGCUAGUUGGCGGGGUAAAGGCCCACCAAGGCGACGAUCCGUAGCUGGUCUGAGAGGAUGAUCAGCCACACUGGAACUGAGACACGGUCCAGACUCCUACGGGAGGCAGCAGUGGGGAAUAUUGGACAAUGGGCGCAAGCCUGAUCCAGCAAUACCGCGUGGGUGAAGAAGGCCUUCGGGUUGUAAAGCCCUUUUGUUGGGAAAGAAAAGCAGCAGGUUAAUCCCCCGCUGUUCUGACGGUACCCAAAGAAUAAGCACCGGCUAACUUCGUG